UGGGGAAUAUUGCACAAUGGGCGCAAGCCUGAUGCAGCCAUGCCGCGUGUGUGAAGAAGGCCUUAGGGUUGUAAAGCACUUUCAGCGAGGAGGAAGGCAUCAUACUUAAUACGUGUGGUGAUUGACGUUACUCGCAGAAGAAGCACCGGCUAACUCCGUGCCAGCAGCCGCGGUAAUACGGAGGGUGCAAGCGUUAAUCGGAAUUACUGGGCGUAAAGCGCACGCAGGCGGUUUGUUAAGUCAGAUGUGAAAUCCCCGCGCUUAACGUGGGAACUGCAUUUGAAACUGGCAAGCUAGAGUCUUGUAGAGGGGGGUAGAAUUCCAGGUGUAGCGGUGAAAUGCGUAGAAAUCUGGAGGAAUACCGGUGGCGAAGGCGGCCCCCUGGACAAAGACUGACGCUCAGGUG
rnacentral:rRNA from 1 species